rnacentral:lncRNA from 1 species
CGGAGGGGUGGCUGGUGGUCGGAGCGGGGAGGCGUCCCCUCCAGCCCGGGGGCCCUUUCGGGGGCGCGCCCGCCCCGCCCUCCAGGCGGGACUCGUUGGGUCCCUCUGGCGCCCCGUGGGUCCCUUUCCCAGAGCUGCACCCGCCCUCUCUCGGCUCCUGGGCGCCACGGAUAGGAGGGCAAGUCACGCGAGGACCAGCCGCGUGCGGAUCGAGGCGGAGGAGUCCGGGGCCCUGCACACGCUCCUGCCGAGGCUCUGUCGUUGGCGGGGCGCUCUCGGGGCCGCUCUCCCGGCUUCGACACUGCUGCGGGGCAGACCGUGCCCACAGACGGCUUGGGUGCAUGUUUGCCCCUGGAUCUCAGACCAGCUAGAAAUCAGUCUCUCCCUAAGACCCAGGCUUCUGAGGGCGAGCGAGGUUUCCAGGGACGGUGCAUACCCAAAACUUCGUGUUAGGAGAGGCCUGGGCCAGAGUGUGAAGGCGCUGCAGUGAAGUCGCACAGCAGAUGGCUUGUAUCAUCCUCAGUUCUGGCUCCCGCCUGAUGCUGAAGACAGCCUCCUCCCAGAAGCCACUUCCAGUCGAGCCUUCGGAGAGUGACGCUGGCCUGAAUCCAAACCAGACCCAUCAUCGAGAAGAAAGCAGGCUCUAGGUCUCGUCCAGGUGGGGAAUGUACCGUCAUUUCACCUGUUGUCUCUGUGUGGGAGAGCAGCGGACAAGAGCCCAAGGAUCCCCUUUGACUUAAAGGGGAUUCAAAGAGUUUAUAUCUCAAAACGCAGGCCGCUUGGAAUGUUCGCAGCUAGAAGGCCGCCCUCUUGGUUGAGACAGCCUGUCAGGACACGGAGUUUCUGUCCCAGAACUUCGGUUACAAGCUCAGAAAAACGAAGAGUCUUGUCCAGAGCACAACCUCUGAAGAAGCGGAGCAACGCGGAAAUUCCCACGGCCGGGGGAUUGUGCUGCUGGCUCGUCUCCUGGCUCAUGCCGGCUUCCAGUGCUCCUUCCUCUCCCCUGGGAAUGAGAAGGAUAGAAAGGCCCGCUGGCAGAAAAGAGAUCAGACCCCGGAGGGAGAGGAGGUGCUCGGAAGGACUCCCCCAAAGAAGAGGACGUGUCUGCGGAAAAACCAACCAGAGAUGCGCUUUGACCAAAACGCACAGGAAGGAGCCCAGCCUGAGCCCUGAGGGUGAGACACGUGCCUGAGGCCUCUGGUGCUUCAUGGAAAGAUGACUUCCAGGGGUUCCCGGGUUCCCGCCCCUCCUGGGGAGGCAGCCCGAGGAACACAGCUGGGGCAGGUGCGUCUUUAAACAUCUGACGGACCCUGUUCAGCACCAGCGGGUCCCUACUGGAGAGAGGCCUUCCCCUGAGCUCGGGCGGGAAGCCGUUCCGGCACAGCUCCGACGUGACCAAACCCAGCGCGUUCACACUGGAGACAAGCCCUUUCAACGCCGUGUGUGCGGCAAAGCCUUUAACUGUGGUUCACAUCCCCUAAAACACGAGCAAACCCACACUGGAGAGAAACUGGAGGGGUGUGAGGAAUGUGGGGGGACCUUCACCCCAGCUCGUGUCUCAUUCGCCGUCGGAAACGUCACCCGCGGAAGAAGCACUGAUGGGGGUGAGUCAUCCGCCAGAUGCGGGCAGGCUUUGUGGGCUCGAGACCCAUCCUGGCAGGGCUGCCCUGGCGCCCCCUCGAUCAGGCCUUGUCCGCUCAGGCCGGGGGUCCCACCCUCACCAGGAACACCCAGGUCUGGCUGGAGACCUCCAUCGUGUCACCACGAUGACAAGGACGCUUCUCACAGCUGCGGCACCAGGGGCAGGCUUCGGGCCCUGGCACAGCCCCCACCUCCCGCUGCUGCCUCCGCCUGUGGCGCCCACGCUGGCUCCCCAACCACUGCUCCUUUGGAGACUGGUCUGCAGCCUCUCAGCCCUCAGCGUCCUGAGUCCAUCUCCAUGUGGCCUGGCCCCGAGCUGGACGGCAGUGCUUUGCAAUGAGCUCCAGGGACCCCGCUGUCCCCCGGCUGGCUGUGGUGGCAGUGCUGGGCCUCGUCCUCUGCCUUCCCUCCUCGGCUGGGGCACCGCUUGAACGCGGCCCCCCUCCCCAGGAACUGGACCCCCUGUGGUCCUCCCAGCUCAGCCCCCAUCCCAGGUGAACCACCGUGACACCAAAUGCUGCCACCACGCGAGAUCCCUGCCCCGGCCACGCGGGGCCCUGGGACGCCCAUGACAGCUGGGAUCCCUUCAGACGCCAGGCGGUGGGUCCGUCCCCAGGGCCAGCUCUCCGUUCAGGUUUGUCCCACUUCUGCGGGCCUCACCCCCAUCCUGCCCCCGUCACGUCCACAUGCCGGGCCUGCCCGUGGUUCCCUCCGGGAGGGGUCUGGACGGCCUCUGUGCUCUCCUGGGGGGGGGGGUGUGCUCUGUCCCAGCGUUUCCGGGUGGUGUGGGAGGGGCAAGGCCACUGCCACCCAGGAGGGAAAGUAGCUUUUUAAUAGGAAAAUGCUGAUAUUUAGGUUUUCAGCAGUUCGGACCCAGAAAACAGAGCAGCCUUCGUCGCGGGGGCUCCUCUGUGAGGAGAGGGGUCGGGGCUCCCGGGACAAGUGUCUCCCCAGUCUGACAGGCGCUGACCUCUUCUCCGUAAAAGCUGCGACGGCAGAGCAGCUCUGCCCGCGCUGGCGCCUCCGCCCAGGCUCGGCAGGCCCCCUCCCACGCGGCAGCCGGCCCAGGUGACGGGCUAACCUGCCGCCCGCGGUCCUGCUCUCACCGACCAGGAGAUGGCGGGGCGCUGAGGCAGAAUCUCCGAGCAGGUGCUGGGCUGGCCUGGGGGGGACACGCCUUUGGUCCCGGGUGGGGCAGGUGCUGUGAGGGACGCGACUGGGACGUCUGGCAAACUUGAGUCCAGACUGUCCCCGGGGGGGGGGACGACACACAGGGUCACUGCUCCCCAGUCCAAGGGCCUGUGGCCGUCCCAGACAGCAUCCUCGUCACGAAAAUGUACGCGAAGGUCACGGCCUUCAGGCCACGGCGUCCUGAUGGAAGUUUGCGCAGAGGCUGACAAGGGAGCGACGACAGCAGGACCCACACGGACCCUGAGCGGUGGCGACGCAGACCGGCUCAGCGUCGGGCGUCCCUGAAUCUAGACCGAGGGCUGGCAGGCCUUUGCUGUGAGGGGCCCGAGGCGGGUGGUUCCCGGCUUGUGGGCACGAGGUCCCGUCCCGACGCAGCUCAGCGGUGCCAGGCAGAGGCCGGCGUGCGUAUCCGCGGAGCUUUGCUUCCAGAAGCAGGAAGGUGGGGCUGGGGCGAGUGAGGCCCCAUGUGCUGGGAGUCCCGAGGUCCUGCAGACCCAGUGUCGGCAGGAGGAGGCCUGGGCGCGGGGAGGGGCGGGGAGACGCCCGGAGCCGGCCCCGCCGUUGGCCUUGCUGCGCCGGGGAGAGGCCGUGGAGGCGGCCGUCAGCCGUGCCGCUCCCGCGGGCCGGGGGCUCUGCAUCCGCUCCACCCGGUUCCCUCGGAUGGCUGCUGACUUGCCCUGACGGAGGUAUUUUGUGUGGAGAGCAUCGUGUGACGUGCACCCGAGCUUACGGUGCUUCACGCGCAGAGAGAAGAGCCGCCGUUGUCUAUGUAACCCCGUUUCCAUGUCAUUUCCCACGGAAAAGCCCUCUUUCUGUGGUUGCCUGACAAUCCGUGGAUUAGAAACAUUGAUUUAGGAGUUCCCGUCGUGGCUCAGUGGUUAGUGAACCCGACUGGCAUCCGUGAGGACAUGGGUUCGAUCCCCGGCCUCUCUCAGUGGGUUAAGGAUCUGGCGUUGCCGGGAGCUGGGGUGUAGGUUGCAGACGCCGCUUGGAUCCUGCGUUGUUGUGGCUGGGGUGUAGGCCGGCAGCUGCAGUUCGGAUUGGACCCCCAGCCUGGGAACCUCCAUGUGCCAAGGGUGCGGCCCUAAAAGGCAAAAAAAAAAAAAAUUUGCUCUAACCAUCUCCUGACAAGAGCCUGUAGGCCGUUUCCCGUUUAGGUCGUUAUAAACAAUGCAGCAUCUCCUCCACAUUUAGGGCCAACGGGGUGGGUCUCCAGACGUGAACUGCAGGGAGAGAGCGUUCUGGCAAAUUCUGCUGCCUAAGUGCCCCAGCAGUGCACAGACAGCAGGUGAGGUCUCAUCUCGCCAGGCUGGUAGAGGAGAAGCAGCUUCUGAUGUGACACCUUCGAUUCCUAAAGAGGAAGCGGACGGCCAGGUGCUCAGUCUCUUGGGCCAGAGACGAGGGACCCCGGGCCAGUCCUGCUCCUCGUGCUUCGCGUUCCCCCGGGGGGACGCUGACAGCGCUCGCCUGUGACUGUGACGUCCUCAGUGCGGCGCUGGCCCCAGAGGUCCGCCACUGUCCUCUGGUCAUGUGUCAGUGUCCUCAGCGAGGGGACGUUUGCCUCCCGGCGUGAGAGGGCGGCGCCGGCUGGCGGCCUCCGUGCUUCUCUGAGGAAAGCGAAAUCAACCCGGAAGACAACGGAAAAGUGAUUUUUUUAACAGGAGACAUGAGGAAAAUCACACGGCCAAACUAAAACCACUUCAUGAGCUUCUUCUUUUGCUCUUUAAUGGCCACACCCACGGCACAUGGAGCUCCCGGGCCGGCAGUGGCAUCCAGGCCACGGCUGCUGACCUGCGCUCGUGGCGUUUUUGCCUCGUGGCGUUUUGGUCAAGACGGGAGGGCUCACUUCCUGCUUCUUCCGAGUUAACCAUCAUGACGCCACACCAUCGCCAAGCUCUGAAGCCGAGUCUUUCAGAUUCAUCGGAUUUGAUGGGUUGUUUUGGGGGGUUUGUUUGUGUUUGUUUUGCUCUUGCUAUUCAAGUGAAACUCAAAUUCCAGGAACAAGAAAACCUGUUACCUGAGUCAAAGGAGAAAACAUAAUAAAAGUUAUGAAACACUUGGGGUCCCAUCGUGGCUCAGCUGUGUAACAAACCCGACUAGUAUCCAUGAGGACACAAGUUUGAUCACUGGCCUUGCUCAGUGGGUUAAGGAUCCGGUGUGGCCGUGAGCUGUGGUGUAGGUCGCAGAUGAGGCUCAGAUCCCGCGUUGCUGUGGCUGUGGUGUAUGCUGGCCGUUGUAGCUCUGAUUUUGAGCCCUAGUUUGGGAGCCUCCAUAUGCCGCCGGUGCAGCUCUAAAAAGACAAAAAUUACAGUUAAAAUUUUUAAAAGUCAUAAAAUACUUAAACCGUAAUGAUAAUGAAAAUACAACUUGCCAGAACCUCUGCAUGCAGCUACAGCGAGACGGAAAUUUGUAGCCUUACGUGGUCAGCAGAGCUGGAAGUCUACAGGCUGUACAUCCCAAAGGGAAAAAUGGCAGAGUUCCCGUCGUGGCUCAGUGGGUUACAGGCCCGACCAGUAUCCAUGAAGAUGUGGGCUUGAUUCCUGGCCCUGCUCAGUGGGUUAAGGAUCCGGUCACGGACGCAGCUCGGAUCCUGCGUUGCUGUGGCGCAGGCUGGCAGCUGCAGCUCCAAUUUGACCCCUAGCCUGGGAACCUCCCAUGGAUACCACUGAGAGAAUUUAAAAGCAAAAGUCGGUUCUUUGACAGGACUGCGGAAACUGACAAUCCCUGGCAGGGGAUCCAGGGAGAGAGAAGGGGCAGAGACUAAAACGCUAAACCGGCAAGUCAGGAGAUGGGAGAACUUGGAUGAAGCGGGUUACGGAAGAUGAGUUACUGAAGCCGACGCCGGAGGGAACAGCCCGCAGACCCUCUAAGCCCCAGACAGACUUGCAUCCAUAGAUCACAGUCUCGCUCGCGGUGACGGCAAGUCCAGAUGGUGCGCAAGUGACUCAGGAAGCAGGUGCCUCCCGCGCCUCCCAGGCGGUGAAGAGGAGACACUCCCGCCUUCCUUUAUGAGGCUCGUAUAACACGCUGCCACAGUGACAGCUCAGUGCCACCUGCUUAGAGAUGAAAAAGCGCUAAACAAAACACUGCAGAUCAAAUCCGGAGCGAUUAAGAGGGACUGUGGCAGGACCGUUCUUUUUCUAGAAAGGCAAAUUUGGCUCAAAAUGGGUGUGAUCUCUCACAUUUUCAGUUUUACGGAGAACUGGGGCACCAUAGUGUCAUCUCAACAGCCGCGGAAAAUAUUUGCUAAAAUUGGACAUCCACUCGUGAUUAAUAUCUCUUCACCCACACGGACUAUAAUGGACGUUUCCCAACCGGAUGUAGGACGUCUCCCAAAACACGCAGCAAGCGAACCUUAGGCUUAGGUGUUAAACGUUUGCAAACAGGAGCAACGCGGAUCGGCCGCCGUCACCCCUGCUCUUCCAUGUCGGAGAUUCCGGCCGGGGCAGUGAGACAAGGAGUGAAGCCCAGGAGCAGCCUUAGGAGGGCAGCCCUUACCUGUCAUUCUCAGCGGCUGCCACUGCCUGCAUGUGGCCAUGGAAGUGACCACCAGCUGUGGAGAUCAUUUAUGAAGGGCUCGUUUAGCAAGACUGUCACAGGGAGCAACGUGCAGAAACCGGCGGAGGUUCACCCCUGGGAAGAGUGGACGCAGGGACUCAAGCAGAUGUCUUCACACCGACAUCACGUCAGCAGGACUCACGGUAGCCUCUGGUGGGACCCACGGACGGGUCCCUCAGCCAGUGAACAGGUAAACGGCGUGGGCCGUGCACACGGAGGCAUAGUAGCCGCAGGAGGAACCGGGCACCUACACGCGACGCCGGGGAUAAACCUUGAAGACACGAUGCUUGGUGAAAGCCAGGCACGAGGGACACAUACUGAGCGACUCCUUUUAUACGAGGUCCCCAGAGCAGGCAGAUGCACAGAAAGUGGAACGCUGGGGCCUUGCUGGGCUCAGAGGUGCGGUCGGGAGGGUGAGAAGGUUUGGGGUGUGGGUGGUGGACAUGGAUACACAGCAUUGUGAGUAUUUAACGCCACUGACUUCGUCACACAGGAUGCACUAUUAACAAAACUCAACGUUUAAAAGCUGUUAUCGAGGAGUUCCCGCUGUGGCACCCCAGGAUCGACAGCGUUACCGCUGCAAGUGCCCACGUGCGUGUGCCCAGAGCCACGUCCUUACCGCACGGCUGGCUCUUCUCCCAGCAGAGGGACCCCGUGCUGAUUGUCCUGCUUCGUUUAGUCCAAAGGAACGUCCGUCCUUUUCAGGUUGUGAGAGCAGAUGGGCCCCAAAGCCAGAAACAGGCGUAGAAAAGAACCCCAGAACCAGCAGCGGGACCGCGUUCCUCGGCUCCAGGGAGGAACGGAGAUGAGAGGAAGGAAGAGAGGCCGUGUGGGGAGGAAAGGCCCCGGCCGCCCAUGUCCUGACCGCGGGCUCAGGCCGUGCUGAGCUCGGAGUCUGCUGCCUCCUGGCUCCCAAGGCACAAACUGCAGCCACGUCUUGGCGACCACGAAGCCACUGCUCCACCCCUUGUCCAGAGUCCCUGUCCAGAGUCCCUGCAGGGUCCAGGCCCAGGCACAGGCCGAGGCUGACGCUGCAGACUCUGCAGCCAGGGGUGUCCAAGGCCUGAGGCCAGGCAUCCCAUGGGGUGAGCUCCCAGGCACCUUGGGCCCAGCACACACACCCUUGAGCUUCCUGUGGCAUGUGACUGUGUCACUGUGGCCUCUCCCAUGAGGCACUCAGUUCAUCCCUAUUUUUUUUUUAUUUUUUUUUUUUACUUUUUAGGGCCACACCUGCAGCAUAUGGAGGGUCCCAGGCUAGGGGUCUAAUGGGAGCUACAGCUGCUGGCCUGUACCACAGCCCCAGCAACACAGGAUCUGAGUCUCAUCUGUGACCUAUACCACAGCUCACAGCAACGCUGGAUCCUUAACCCACUGAGCAAGACCAGGGAUCGAACCUGUAACCUCAUGGUUCCUAGUCGGAUUUGUUUCUGCUGCGCCACGACGGGAACUCCUGGUUGUUCCCUUUUGGUUCCACUCUUGGGGUUACUGGAAGCUGGAGCACACGGGGUACCGGACUCCUCCUCGUGCUCCCUGGCGAACUGGGGUGGCUGUGGGCUGAAAACAGUCGCUUGCAGCUGGCGGUCCUGGGCCUCUGCUGGUGUAGAUGCUUUCUCCAGUCUAGUUUUCCCCGCUGGUUUUUUUUUGUUUUUUUUUUUUUGGCCACCCCCACAGCAUGUGGAAGUUCCCGGGCCAGGGACUGAACCUGCGCCAGAGCAGUGACCUGAGCCACCGCAGUGACCUCGCUGGGUCCUUGACCGCUGGGCCACCAGGGGAUGCCCUGCUGUUGUUUUCACUGUUUAGAGACGCAGCUGCCCAGCUAGUCAAGGUCGUUGCACUUCUGCUUCAUUGUAUCUUCACUCCCGUCAUCGUCAUCCGGAGACAGGAAGCGUGGCCUUCGUCUGGGCCGGUGUUCCUCCCUUCGCGGCUCUCUUGUCACGGGGUCCUCUGAACCCACGUGGUGCUGCCCUGCCCCCCACGUCUCUUCCCAGCAGCCCCAGCGUCCGUCACAGGACGUCCUUUGUCCUGCUACCUCUGGAUCUUGCUUUCUCGCACAGUGAACGUCUGACCCGCCCUGUUGGCUGCAUUCAGCUGCUCUUCCUGCAGCCAGGAUUUCCCAGGGAGGCCCCCCUGCUGGCAUCUCCCAGCCCCAGGCCUGCAGAGCCAGAGACCUGGUGGUCGCUGCCCCUGGAUAGGUCUCUUGGGGGCCACCUCACAUUAACCAGACUUGUAGGAGGCCAACACACAAAGCAGAAAAGGAACGUGGCGUUCCUGUCGCAGCUCAGGGCUUUAUGAGCCCAACUGCUAUCCGUGAGGAUGCGGGUUCGAUCCCUGGCCUCGUUCAGUGGGUUGAGGAUCUGGUGUUGUCUUGAACUGUGGUGUGGGUCUCAGAUGUGGCUUGGAUCCCGCGUUGCGGUGCCUGUGGUGUAGGCCAGCAGCUGUAGCUCUGAUUUGAGCCCUAGCCUGGGAACCUCCAUAUGCCACAGCUGUGGCCCUAAAAAGACAAAAGACAAAAAAAAAAAA